AUGGCGCCAGGCAGCUCAAUGCUUGCAGACAGCUGGGGCACGACGCAACUUAAGGAGGGUCUGUCAGUGUCAUCAGUGGGGGAGGGGCCUGCCCUGCUCGCCCUAAUUGAAUAUUGUGGGCCAGGAGAGAUGACCAAGGACUGCUGCAAGGAUUUCUCUUUCACAGACCCUGCAAGAGUCUCACCAAUAGGGGCUGUUCUUUUAGGUGCUGCGCAAAGCACUGACACAGGCAGCCUCUGCGACGCCACUGGACGUGACGUCAUCUCCAGAGUAAACAGCCAGGAAAUGAACCCUCUCAGCAAGCAGAGCAGAGCGCGCAGGCUGUUCUGGAGAGGAAAUGCGCGCGCCCUUUUCCAGGUCUCCAUGGGAACAUUUGAUAUUCAGAGCAUGACCACAGCAAUAACUGCCACAUCCAUCUUAUGCAAUGAGGUAGGCUUAUUUUACAGAAUAGGGUAGCUACAUUUGUGAUAUUUGUAGAUGGCCUUUUAGUCUUUUGGAAGUUGUGAAUUUUACCACAGCCGUUCUCAGUCGGGUGCACGGGGUUAAUGUGUGAGAAACAGAAAUAUUGCUGAUUUGGCAAAGCACGCGUUUAUCCCUCUCCAGGAUACCCAGAGAGCAUGUCUCACUCAAGCAAACCUGAGACUGAACCUGGAUGGAAACUGCUGUACCGCCUCACAUCGAACAAUCUCACCGCCAUUGUCGAGCUGUCAACGGACUCAUGUAAUUAUCCUCUUGAAAAGUAUCGCGCUCCAUUAUCCACCAAGUAGGCGAUGCUUUAGAGGUGUUCCGAGGCAACACAUGACGGUAAAUGUAAAAAUCCUGAUAAUGUUUUUUUGUUUUUUAUCUGGAUGUCUGGAAGCUUACAGAGUGGGACAUGGAACCUCUCUCAAGACGUGAUUCCCCAAGCCUCAGUGUCAAGAGAGAAGGAGAGUGGAAUAAAAACGGGUCGCCUUUAAAAGUUGUCAUUUGUAAUCCCCACCACUGUCACAACAGAAGGGGGGGGGGUGUGUGUGUGUGUGUGUGUGUGUGUGUGUGUGUGUGUGCGUGCGUGCGCGUGCGUGCGUUUCUGUGUGUGCGUGAUAAAAUAACCAAAACAAAGAAAAUAAAAUGCAGAUGUCUAGUCUACUACACUGCGUCUGAUUCAUAAAUGUUGGUGUAGCAUGGUGGCUGGUAGUUUUGCCUGAUGGCGGGCACAGCAGAAGAUUGGGGAGAUAAUUUGUGAGUGAUUAUGUCAGGGAACGCUGAUUAAAAUCAGGAGACAUCACACAUUUCACCGAGGGUGAGAAUUUAAGACCGCCGGAUUAUUUCAUUGUCAGAGUGAGAUGAACUUUUUAGAUAGCAUCUCUUUGUUUACUGUGUCCACAUUUUGCCUCCCAUAGGCUAACUGUAAUUAUGACAAAUGUAUUUCCCAAGGUUGUAAUUAUUAGGUGGUAGUUAUAGUCUAAUAAUAAUAAUACAUAUUAUUAUAAUAACAACAAUAAUAGUAGUAAUAAUAGUUAUAAUAAUCAUAAUAACACUACUACUAUAGGCUAGUACUAGGCCUACACUACUACUGCUACUACCACUACUACUACUACUACUACUACUACUAAUAAUAAUAAUAAUAUGCAUAUUGAUAAUACCAUAUAGGCUAUUCAAUUUAUUACUAUAAAUUGUAUCUAUUACAUUUUUUAAAUAUAUUUGUGGUUGAUCAUAUGUGUGUCCAACCAUUGAAGCAUCAUCAUUACAACAGGGAGAUAAGCCCAUUCUAAAGCAAGCUGCCUGACGCUCUAGCACUGUAACCCAGUUUUGGGGCAGAUGAAAAACAGGGAAGGCCCAGAAGUGAAAUUUAAUUAAAGUGCCGGCAUCUGGCUUAUGAGACUUUUGAUGGGUUUAGAUUUUACAGUUUCAUUCUAAUGUUGCAGGUAAAGCUGUCCAAACAGCCGCGAGGCGCAGAUCCAGGGUGAACCAGAGGACACCGCCUCGGGCAGCGGGCCUCGCCCGGCACUCUCUCUACGCGCUGGAGCUACUUCACUCCAGUCACCACUGGAAUACAUUAUUAUUAUCUUGAUGAAGACGGAGAAGAAAAAAAAUUAAAAAGCGAAGGAGAGAGAAACGCAGUCUGACUUCCAUGUGUGUGUUACAGGAUAAUUGAAAUGUAAUCAACGAACAUCUAUUUAUUAUUAUUACUAUUAAUAAUGAUGAUAAUAAUAAUAAUAAUAAUAACAAUGCUUUUGAUAUAUGCUGAAAUAGAGAAACAAUUACACCGAAGACAGGCAUUUUCAAAUAAUUCAAAACGAUAUCAUGCAUGACAAAAUUUGAAACCUCGAGUUGGGGCGUGUGGCAUAUAGCCUACAAAUAUAGGCUACAGGUAUAAGAUGACUAAUGCCACAAUAUUCUCUGAUCUUUUCAAGAACAACGCUUCUUGUUGUACUCAAUUAACUAUGCGAACCAGUUCAGAUUCUUAGAACCAAAACGAGGGUGUGAAAUUAUUCUCGGUGUGAAUGAAACUUGAAAAAUGAGGUGUAUUUCUUAGAAUGAUUCAAAUGAGAAAAGAUUUUGGAACAUUUUACCUCGAGUACAGAUUAUGUUUUCGGUAAUGCUUUAGCUUCAGUAACAAGAAAAAGAGAUGAAGGUGCUCUGUCAAUUGAGUGAGAGGGAUGCUUAUCCGUGUGAUCUCUAUUCACCUCCUCUCUCUUAACGGCGGCAUCGCCAGGCCCACACCGCCUCCAUUUGGAUGCUACUGUUUUCGGUUACUCUGCUUUAAACAACAUCAAAUGUAGUGCUCUUAGGGCGUAUUUUACCAAAAAUUCCAUUGACAGUUGUUGAAUUUAUUCACCCCUUUUUACAUAACACAGUGUUAUUGCUAAUUAGCAUACAGAUCAAACACGUCUAAAUAAAUCCGACAGGUAGGUAACAUCAUUUGAGAACUUCACAAACACACAAACAAAGAACUUCGACAUAUCAACAUUUCAAGCCACACUCAGUGUGCUACCCAUCUCUGUCGUGGUCUGAUUUGGAGAUUGGAGGCAGAUUGUAUCCUUAUUUAAAAGGUAACCCACCUCGUGAGUAUGUGAGUGGCCAGCCUCCCUAUCUCCAAAACACAGCUGUUGGGGAAGCAUUCAGCAUUAAUCAAUAGAACGGCGCGCGAUUUCCCAGCCCGUUCUGUUCUCUGUAUGCAAAUAACCGCUCGAGCUCUGCCCAUGAUAGCACGACUGUGAUGCCCUUAAUUUCGUAUCCUAUUCAUUCUAUGUAACAGCUCAUCUCCAAAUCAAGCCAUAUCGACCACAGACGUGAUGGAAAAAGGGGGGAAUGCAGCCUCAGCAAAUCCAACUCCUUUCUUUUAUGGCCCAUUGGCGAGGUAAUCAGAUCCAUUUCAUGGGUUAAGGGAUUCUGCCUGUCACCAACUCAGGUGGUAAUAGAUCAUUAAAAUCCUUCAUCUUCUGUAUUUCGGGAGGCGCGAGGUAGGUAAAAUACUCUCAGAAUCUAGUGCGUUAACUGCAAUAAAUUCCAAAGCAAUUUGGAAACGUGAAAAACGAAAAAAGGAACGGUUUAUUAAAACGAUUAUUGAAGACCACCUAUAGCCUAUUUACAGUAUACAUAUUUUUAUUUUCGAAAACUACUUUAGACUGAAUAUCCCCUAGCCUAACGCCUGUCACAAACGCAGCCAAACACAUAUAGGCUACAGUAAAAACAUAAGAGACAACAAUGGCGUCGCGUGUGUCUUUUUAACCACUUUUCUGUCUGACAGACAUGCAGAAAAGCUCUACACAUGUUGAGAAAGCGGAGCUGUUUAACCGGUCUCUGCAAUUCACUAAACAAAAAGCAUGUGUGCCUUUUUCCUGAAGAUGCACUACAAAAACGCUAUAUUCGAAAAUCGUUUUUAAAGCCAUGGAACAAACUUGCUCAUCAAUUCAUUUCUGGACAUACGCCUGGCUGGACAGAAGACAGAGAUGGAGACUGGAAGGGACUAACUAGUAUGUACCUUUAAGAGCUAUACUUUGUGUUCUUCGCUGAAGGACAGCCAGACAGACAGACUUGCUUUAUAGAAAUCUAAAUAUUUACUGACCUGUGGAAUAGAGGUUCGCGGCCGGUUUUUUUUUUCUGAUCGGCUGCAGAUGUGAGGAAAGAGUGACAUGGAGAUCGAAGCGCCGAUGGCAUUUAGAGAGAGCGAGAUGCGUAGGGGAAAAAACCGAGGCGCGCGCGCCCUCAGCCCAGAGUCACUCACUCACUCACUCACUUACUCACACACACACACACACACACACACACACACACACACACACACACACACACACACACACACACACACACACACACACACACACACACACACACACACACACACACACACACACACGCACACACACACACACACACACACACACACACACACACACACACACACACACACACACACACGCACACACGCACGCACACACACACACACACACACACACACACACACACACACACACAUACAUACACAUACACAUACACUCCUACAGGCCAACCAAAGCAUCUGUACAUUCAGAUCAGAGCUCUUCCGGGUCGGUGGAGUCUAAGGAGGAAAAA
rnacentral:lncRNA from 8 species